rnacentral:rRNA from 1 species
GACGAACGCUGGCGGCGUGCUUAACACAUGCAAGUCUAACGGAAAGGCCCUGCUUUUGUGGGGUGCUCGAGUGGCGAACGGGUUAGUAACACGUGAGUAACCUGCCCUUGACUUUGGGAUAACUUCAGGAAACUGGGGCUAAUACCGGAUAGGAGCUCCUGCUGCAUGGUGGGGGUUGGAAAGUUUCGGCGGUUGGGGAUGGACUCGCGGCUUAUCAGCUUGUUGGUGGGGUAGUGGCUUACCAAGGCUUUGACGGGUAGCCGGCCUGAGAGGGUGACCGGCCACAUUGGGACUGAGAUACGGCCCAGACUCCUACGGGAGGCAGCAGUGGGGAAUAUUGCACAAUGGGCGGAAGCCUGAUGCAGCAACGCCGCGUGCGGGAUGACGGCCUUCGGGUUGUAAACCGCUUUCGCCUGUGACGAAGCGUGAGUGACGGUAGUGGGUAAAGAAGCACCGGCUAACUACGUG